CCUACGGGUGGCUGCAGUCGAGAAUCAUUCACAAUGGGGGAAACCCUGCUGGUGCGACGCCGCGUGGGGGGAAUGAAGGUCUUCGGAUUGUAAACCCCUGUCAUGUGGGAGCAAAUUAAAAAGAUAGUACCACAAGAGGAAGAGACGGAUAACUCUGUGCCAGCAGCCGAGGUAAUACAGAGGUCUAAAGCGUGGUUCGGAUUCACUGGGCGUAAAGCGUGCGUAGGCUGUUUCGUAAGUCGUGUGUGAAAGGCGCGGGCUUACCCCGCGGGCGGCAAAUGAUACUGCGGGACUAGAGGAAUGGAGGGGGAACCGGAAUUCGCGGUGUAGCAGGGAGAUGCGUAGAUAUCGAGAGGAACACUCGUGGCGAAGGCGGGUUCCUGGACAUUAACUGACGCUGAGGCACGAAGGCCAGGGGAGCGAAAGGGAUUAGAUACCCCUGUAGUC
rnacentral:rRNA from 1 species